UUGGUGUUUCCGCAUCCACUUCCUACUUGUGACGUUGACGAGAUCAGAACGAAAACGCGGAGCGGAGGAGAUGAUAAAGACCAGGCUCUGACAGGUUAUUUGGCUAUUGGAGCAACGCAAAUGGUUAUUACAGGACAGUGGAUCUUCAUGCCAUGAGACAUCAGAGAUUUUAGGCCUUUAAGGUGAAGCCUUGUGGGAGAAAAAAAACAUCACGAUCGCUCCACUAUUAACACCUUUGAAAUCUCAAGCAAACCCAUGCAAUAGGCCUAUAAUAUACACCACCCUUUCAAGUCAGUCCAUUAACUCCUCUAUCCACAUUGUACAUAGUUAAAAUGGUGACUGUUGUGCACUUGGCAGAUCAGAGGAUUCUACAAAUGCAGGUGUUAAACAAAAUUGUCUUGUACAAUAUAUGCAAUAGCACUGAAUUUGGUCUUGUAAAAAAUGCUCUGAAAGUGUAUUGUGUGAUAAAUUCCUAAAAUACUAAGCAAAUACAUAUCAUAAUGCUCUUUAAAUUUCAGACUACAGUAACAUAAAACAAUCCCUUGUGUUAGUGAAAUUAUAACUUAUAAUUUUGAGUUAUCUUGUCAAGUGAUACGUUUGUCCCCUGUACAAUUAUUCAUGAUUAUUAUGUUGUUUGAUUUACAAAAAAUGCAUCUGUAACAGGCCUUUUUCACAGCAGACAUUUUGACUUAUGUCAGGAAAAGCACAGAUGUUACCGAUGACAUUAACAAUAGCUCCAAGCCGAAGCAGCUGAAAUUGAAUUCAGCCAUCAUUCAUUUACUUAUUUACACCUGCGUUUUUACUACAGUGACAUGUCAGAGUGUCUUUGGGGAAAAAGGCCUAAAUGGAGGAAAAUGGGAAUAGUAAUAUCCAUUGACCUACAUGACACUGUACUUGGAUUGUCCAUUGCUUUAUGAUAGAUUGAGUUUGUGUUAGCCAAGGCAGCAGUUUCUGGUUGUGGUGGCUUUAAAUAAAUGUUUUUAUUAAUGUA